rnacentral:tRNA from 1 species
CCCUGGGUGGUGCAAUGGUCAACAUGUUUGGCUACUAACCAUAAGUUUGGUGGUUUGAAUCCACCUAGAGGUG